GAUGAACGCUAGCUACAGGCUUAACACAUGCAAGUCGUGGGGCAGCGGAUACUUAGCUUGCUAAGUAUGCCGGCGACCGGCGCACGGGUGAGUAACGCGUACCGAACCUGCCCAUCACACAGGGAUAGGCUUGCGAAAGCAAGAUUAAUAUCUGAUGGUCUCAAUUUUAUGCAUGUAUGAUUGAGUAAAGCCUUCGGGCGGUGAUGGAUGGCGGUGCGUCCCAUUAGGAAGUUGGCGGGGUAACGGCCCACCAAUCCUUCGAUGGGUAGGGGUUCUGAGAGGAAGGUCCCCCACAUUGGAACUGAGAUACGGUCCAAACUCCUACGGGAGGCAGCAGUGAGGAAUAUUGGUCAAUGGGCGAGAGCCUGAACCAGCCAAGUAGCGUGCGGGAUGAAGGCCCUUGUGGUCGUAAACCGCUUUUAUCAGUGAAUAAAGUGCAUCACGUGUGGUGUCAUUGCAGGUAGCUGAAGAAAAAGGACCGUCUAAUUCCGUGCCAGCAGCCGCGGUAAUACGGAAGGUCCGGGCGUUAUCCGGAAUUAUUGGGUUUAAAGGUAGCGCAGGCGGGAGUAUAAGUCAUCUGUUAAAUAUCAUAUCCCAACUCUGUUAUGCAGUUGAAACUAUAUUUUUUGAGUACUCACAGGGAUGGCGGAAUUCUGGGUUGUAUCUGUGAAAAUGCUUAUAUAUCCUGAAAAACUCCUGAUCUGGAAUUUUCCUCCUGAUCUUAAUUGAUGCUUAUGUUCUAAUGUGCGGUAUUUAUAGG
rnacentral:rRNA from 1 species